CGAGGGGGAGGGGUGGGGAAGGAGGCUGCUGGAGCGGGUCCUGGCCAUUCCCAGAUGGGUCGAGGCUGAUGAGGACUCCCAGGCGCUGGGGGCGGCACAGAGGGGCCGUGGCCCCUAUGGAAAUCAGAGAAGGCUAGGAUCCCAAAGCGUGGCCAGGUCCAUCGUGAGGAUAGGCGUUGUUCCGCGGAAGGUGCAAGCCAUCAGCGGUUCCAGAAUUUCUAAACCGGAAGGACUUGCGGGUGUGGAGCACAUGGAGAUGCUGAAAUCCUGUUCCAUUUGCCAGCGGUCUCCUGACUGCCACCCCGUUAUUCAUUUCUCAUCUGCCUCUGCCACUUACCUAGGAGCUUCCCAGCAGACGUCUAUCUGGAUUGCCUGGAUCCUGAGCCCAACAGAGAGCUGGGCAUGGAGUGAGGGACUGCGCUGUGUGGAAAGGCCAUGGAUCCAGCCCUGCCCUAGUGCCUCAGCUUCCAUGAUGGACCACACUGGAUGGCUCUGACCUUCCUGGAAACCCUGGGUCCUCCACCUCUGUGCCUUCUGCCCAGAAUGCCCUGACCCCCUGACCUCCCAAAUGUCCUCAUUCCAUCUGUUGUGCUCCCACAGUACCUUACCACAUCCCUCUGUCCCAACCCAACUGAUCUCACCAUCAGACAAAAAGCUUCUUGAGGACUAGGUCCACAGAAGGUUUCUGUAAGGGUAUGUGGGGGUAGUUAAAGCAAAGGGCCCUUUGGCUUAUCUAGGGGCUCUGGGGAGGCCCAGGGGGUGCUUAUGCUCACUGUCGGAUGGUUUCCAUCUGCUCUUUGACAGACAUGCCCCCAAUGCAGAGAGCGCAGCGCAGGAGUGGGGAGCUAUCCUCCUGUAGCAGGCGGCAGUAAUACUCCAGGAUGCCGUGGGUCUGCCGGGCCAGCUCCCGCUACAGGCACAGGGGCAGAGGUUAGCACCAGAAGGCAGGCCUGUCUCUGCCCUGCCCUCCAGCCUAGCUUACUUACUGAGGGACAGAUGAUGAGUCCAUAGGGCCCUUCACGCUUGGAGAAAGGUAACCUCUUUUCUUGUUCCAGGCAGAACAUGAUGACAGGCAAUGUGAACACCAAUGUCUUGCCUGAACCCGUGAAGGCAAUACCUAUCAUGUCACGGCCAGACAGGCUAUUGGGAGAGAACAGGCCCGAUGAUCAGGUUCAGUAGAAUGUAGGGAAUGGGUCUCCAGAUGGAUACCUAGUGACUACUCCUUCUCAUCACCACCCUCUUCAGGGCCCCCCAUACUCACAUGGUGGGGAUGCCCUGGAUCUGAAUGGGUGUUGGGUGGUGGAUGCCUUUCUUCUUCAGGCCUCUCAGGAUGGCUAUGGAAAACAACUUUAGCAUCAUCCUUGUGUCUCAUGGAUACUUUAUCAGGCCCCCAAAGCUGUAAAAUUAGCACUACCCUCUUUGAGUUACAAAUGAGGCCCAGAGAAAGAGAGAGAGAAAAAUAGACUUGUCCAAGACUUCUAGGCUGAGUGGAGGCAGGAUUUGCACCCAGGUCCAUUUAAGGCUAAUGUCACUUGCCCACUGAAGCUCCCUAAUGGCAGAGGACAGUAAAUAGGGACAACUGGGGCAAAUGUAAUUCAAACCUAAAGAAACCCCUCCUCAAAUCCCUCCAUUCUCACUACCUGACUCAUCACUGCAGAUGCUAAGCUCAGGGGAGGCUGGGACACAGGCUCACAGUUGUCUGACCAUCAAAUUCCCAGUACCUGCAGGAAAUUUCAUUUCCUUGAAGCUCUUUAUGGGUGGUGGGAUACCAUCUCCUUCCACCAGGAUGUGAUACUUCUUCCUCACGCGCUCAUGCCGCUCUUCAGACAUGCUCAGGACAUAACGGGGAGGUGUCCAACUGUGAGUGGGUGGUGGGGGUCAAGAGAGGUCCCAGGCACAGCUGGCUCUGGGGUGUCCCUGCCAGGCUCAGCUACAUACCGUUCCAAGUAAAGAUGACUGCUUUUCCACAGACUAGAAAGACAUACCUGGUUUUGAUUGGAUCGUCAUAUGUGAUUCCCUUGGCCAUUUCCUUCACCGACAUCAAAGCUGAGGAGACAGAUCUGGCUCAGGGAUGGCUCUUGCUUCCCAGAGGCCAGGACCUUCAGAUAUAACAUGCCUGGGGCUAGGGAGGAGGCUUAGUCCACCUCUCCCCUUGCCUGACCACAACCAUACCUCGGCCCUCUGCCACACUCUCCAGGAUCUUUUCCUCUUCUUUCAGCUGCUUCUCCUUGGCAGACUCCUUGCGAGCUGAGAAAAGAAGCAGAUGUCAGAGACAUGCCAAAGCAGUGCACCAAAUUGAGCCUCCCCGCUGCUUCCCAGCACACCUUCAGCCUUCUCUUUAAGGUGCUGGUGCUGAUCCAGGAGGCUGACGUUGGACUGUGGGCCCAGAGGGAUGUCGUCCUCAUCUCCCCGGGGCUCGCUGCCGCUGUCCUGCAGCUCCUCCUCCGCAGCUCCUUUGCGCCUUCGUUGCAAUAGCUUCUGGAGCUGAGGUUCCACCAGCGCCCCUCAGAGCCAAGCCCAAGACAAAGCGGAGUAUCGGGCCCAGGGGGCUUGCGUCAGGAUCUUGGCUUUUGGGAGAGGGUCCUGUGCCACGCGACAUGGAGGUGCCCUACCCCUCAGAUCAGACUGGCAGUCCCUGGUUUGCCUAGGGGCCACGGUCCCAACUACUGACAGCUCACUCCACUGGAUGCCACCCUCCCUCCCACACCCUCAUUUCUCUUCCGACCCGAGGCCCUCACCAACAGUUGCCGCCGCUGUCGCAAAGGCACGUAAGGCACGUAGUCUUCGUCGUCCUCAUCCUCCGCCUCGGAGCGGCUUCCUGUGGCAGUCGCUUCAUCUGUGCGAACACGCUACAGAUACACAUGAAUCAGGCCCAGGCCCCCGCUUUCACAGCAGCUCGCCACCCGCACCGACCCCUACCUCGCUCCCACCUUCCGUUCAGGUUCCGAGUCCUCCAUCCUUUGCUGUACGCAGGCGCGCUACGGUAAAACCCCGCCUCAAUUUUUGCGUGAGGUCCAAUCAGAUGUGAAGAAGCGGAAGGUCGGCACCUAGCAACGACCUCUGAGUGCCGGAUCGCGCAGAGGGACAAACUUUCCCGAGACCCUGUCAGGCAGUGCAGCGUCAAAGUACCCUUGGGCGGCUGCGCAUUUGUUGCCAGGGGCGAGGGCGAAGCGUCAUACAAUGCAUUAUGGGACGCUGGAGGACUUGGAGCAUGCGCUAAAAGCUCAAACGAAGCCUGGUGGAAGGUCCCACGAGUGGAGAUACAGAAGAGACCCGCCUACCGGAGGCCUAGCGUCGCCCAUAGCCUGACGUCAUCUGGCACGUUCCGGGACUGGGCCAGCUGGGACCCCACCGGGGACUCCAUCCCGGGCACGGGGCGCGGGUAACGAAUCAACUUGCACUGCAGCUCUGACUGGCGUCCUUAUCUAUGUGACAACACGUAAAGCAGCUCCUUGAUCAGACCUGCAAUUUUUGAAUGAUGAAGCAGAAUUUUAGAUAAUUAUGCCAGUUCAGUUGCAGCACGGGAGCCUGGUGCAAGAGUUGAAAGGAAAGAAGAACAAAGGAAAGAUCUUCACAGUAUCAAAAGUAAAGAAUUGAAAAACAAGAACAAAAACAAAACCAAACACAAAGAGAGCAGUGUUGGGCCAGCAGUACCAUCAGCCCCCAGCCCACAAGCCAGUCCAGCCCCCGGGCUCUGAGUGAGGAGGCUGCGUAGCACCAGGAAGCGGCUCUGCGGAGGUCCUGAGGGGCCCCAGCACGGCACAGCGUCCAUUCAACUUUUGGUUGGUCCAGGAUGGCGAGGAGCAGGGAGGAUCUUGGGCAGGUGGAUAGGGAUGUGGAGGAAGAAACUGUAGACCUUCAGCUGGCAGUUGGGGUUUCAGGACACCCUGAAGAAGCUUGACCCGGCAGGGGCUAAGAAAACAGGAGAGCAUGGCUGCACCGUCUCAGCUUGGUUGCCACUUCUACUAGGAAGGCUGCCCUGGCCUCGCCUACGUUUCAGCUUCGCCUGUCGCCCCACUUCUAGCUGCCUCCCCCACAGCCCCAUACCCUUACCCUUCCAACAGCACUCAACAUUGUUUAUGGCUCUCUCUCCCCACCUAAGCUGUGUUUGAUUUGCCUCUACCCUAGAGCUCAGCCCAGGCAGAGCAGAGAAAGUGCAAAUGAAUAAACAAAGUGAAUAAAGCUGGA